rnacentral:rRNA from 1 species
CCUACGGGAGGCAGCAGUGAGGAAUAUUGGUCAAUGGACGAGAGUCUGAACCAGCCAAGUAGCGUGAAGGAUGACUGCCCUAUGGGUUGUAAACUUCUUUUAUAUGGGAAUAAAAUGUUCCACGUGUGGGAUUUUGUAGGUACCAUAUGAAAAAGGAUCGGCUAACUCCGUGCCAGCAGCCGCGGUAAUACGGAGGAUCCGAGCGUUAUCCGGAUUUAUUGGGUUUAAAGGGAGCGUAGGUGGAUUGUUAAGUCAGUUGUGAAAGUUUGCGGCUCAACCGUAAAAUUGCAGUUGAAACUGGCAGUCUUGAGUACAGUAGAGGUGGGCGGAAUUCGUGGUGUAGCGGUGAAAUGCUUAGAUAUCACGAAGAACUCCGAUUGCGAAGGCAGUUCACUGGACUGCAACUGACACUGAGGCUCGAAAGUGUGGGUAUCAAACAGGAUUAGAUACCCGAGUAGUC